GGUGUGUCCACAUGCAAGAAUGCAGUGUCCACAUCGAAAAACUCCUCUGUGGAUCUUCUUGGAAGACUUGACAACAGUGAAUUUAAAAGGACGUCACUGAUUCUGAGUGAGAGACUGCAUCCAACUUUCCCCUUUGAGUGAGUCAUGAAUAAGCAUUUGGAUUGGAUCAUCUACAAAGACUGUUCCAAACCAGCUUAUGUGCAUGAAUAUGAGAGACUAGAGAAUAUACAAAUCAACUUACGUUAGGGUCAGAGACCAUGACGGACACUAAGAGCUUUUAAAGAAGACUCAUGCUAAGCAAGCACGGUCUGGGCUAUAAACCAUACAUUUGUGCCUGGGAAUCUCCCUACAUCAAAGGUUCUAGAACCUGCUUCAAAGGUGCAUCUUAAUAUAUUAAUUCAUUUGUAUCUUUGCUUUGGAUCAUAUUGAGCAUUAAGAUGAUUCAUUUUCUAGCUCUUUUUUUCUUAACACCUUGAAUGGCUCAACUACAUCUGCCAGUAUUAAUUUCAGCCUAGUUAAGUUCAGUAUGUGUGCUGUCCACAAACAGCUUCUCUACCAGGUCUCCUGUAGCCAGUUAAUGGUAAUGAGGCUUAUUGUUUCAAGUCCACAGUGGUGCAAGGCAAAUAUCCCUGAGCACAUGACCAUGUCUAGAGAUGUGGUCAUGUUGUACAGAAUGGCAUAGAACUUUCACAGUGACUCUGAGUAAAGAAAAUAUUACAAAACAGCUAUACACAUGAAACGAAUAGAAAGGCUUCUAUUUUUGUUGUCUAAAUGGCUAAACACUUAGAUGCUUGGAAUUUAGAAUUGUACAAAUUAAGCUCCUUAAAGAUAUUGGAUAGAUGCUUCUUCUCUUUUGUUAAUGAAAGUAAUUGGCUACAAGUUUAUUUCCAGUCAAAAGUGCACACUCCAGGGAUGAGCAUGGACUUCUCUGGACAGUCAGCACCUCUCUGAGGUUCUGUUUUGCAAUCUUUCUUUCUCUCUCAUUUUAUUACUCUUUCCCCAUCCUAAUUCUCUGGCCCUGCCUGUCUCUGUCAUGUGCACACACCUAAGAGAUGUUCAUGUAUAAGAGAAACAUUAUAAGAAUCAGUUGACUAUAGUGUGUGAUGGAGGCUGUUGGGUUCUUGCAAUGGCUGCCUUUGGCAAUAGCUGCCAUGUGGAGGGCUCCUAGCUCUCCAUUUUCACUGGAAACCCAGCUCCCCCAGAGUUGUGACUGCUCAUCAACCAUGGCAGCUCAGAGAUAUGGCAAAACCUUCCUUGGUCUGUAAAUAUUGGCCCUCUUUAGCUUUCUCCCUGAAUACCGAAUACUUAUGGUGUAUAUACUGUUUCCUUACAGUGAAAGAUCCCAUCAAAAUUUUCUCAAUUUCAGCUGAAUAUAAUAACCUUUCCUCCAUGUUUAUAUGUAUGUAAUAAUCCCACCUCCCUGUUCAACUGUAUACAAUAAAUAUUCUGAAAUUCCU
ensembl:lincRNA 4930517E11Rik RIKEN cDNA 4930517E11 gene